CAAAACCCGAUCCAACUGGUCUUUGACUUUCUCUCCUUGUCCACGUCUCAAAUCUACGAUGGAAUUCGAGCUUCGACAGUGACCGAUCAUGGAAGACGAUCAUGGAAGACGAUCAUGGAAGACGAUCAAGCCAAUAGUAUACUCUGCUCGCUUGUCCUCGAAUUAGCUCGAUUUCCAUUUUAAUUGGUUCUCAAGUACACUUUCUACGAUUCAGAAUGUAGGAAUGUUAUUUACUGUUGAAGAUCAAAGACAACGAGCAGACCCAAGAGGAAGAAGAUAACAAAAGAUUCAUCUUUAUGUUUUUGUUCUGCAAUUCUUUCGUUUAGAAGAAACAGAUUUUGAUACAGAUUCUUACUAUAAGAUACAUAUUUUUUUUGA